ensembl:lncRNA
CACACACUCACACACACCCAACACACGUGUGCACACACACACACGCGGUGAUGAAUGUGUAAUCACACUGAUUAAGUUGUUAUUAGAGGGCAGGAGAUCCUCUGUAGGAAAUGGGGGUGAGACACACAGAUGAUUAUUUACAUCCCUCUAUUCUAACCACAGCUGGAAUAGAGAGGGGGAGGCAGAGAAAUAUGAAUGUACGGCUUGGUGGGGUCUAGGUAAGCUUUCUGUUUUCAUUACACAAUGAUGAAAAUGAUGAAAAGUAUAAUUUAAUGCAAUCACUGUAAAGGUUUUUAUUUCUCUCUCUCUCUGAUUGUUCACACUUUUUCUGCAUUCUAUUUCCUUAAAGUUCAUUUCUCUCCCUCUCUGGUGUCUUUUUUUACUCAUAAUUGUUCUUACCAGAAGGUGGUGCUGCUGCAUCUUCACUAUGAAACUUGAAAAGCUUCAUACUGCUUCCCGGUACUCACGAUCUCUCUCUCACACACACACACACACAUACAUGCACACACACACACUCUCAAAUGAAGUGGUGUACAGUAUCCCCUGAGAAGGGAAGAGAAAGAGAUAAAAAUAUAUCUAUAUUUAUAUAUUUAUGGAAUGUUUUUGAAUUGUUCCUGACUUGAAGUGUUUGUUUAAAUAAGAUUUCCUGCUUUUGUUUUGUUGUAAAUUAGUAUAAAUGAGAAGAUUGAAGGGGGGAAGAGUGUGAUUAUCGGCUACUACAUUUAACGGUUUUCAGAAUUUUGCUGCUCUAUUUCUUCUCUCACAAGCUCUUUCUCUCCCUCUCUUCUGUGCUGUGUGAUGCAGCAGCAUUUAGAGUCUUGUUCUGUGACAUUGACUCUAGAAAAGAGAUAGAAUGAGAAAGGAAGAGAGUGAGAGAGAGAAGCAGGAAAAGAGAGAAGAAAAGAAAUUGUUGUUGGUUUCGGGGAGAGUGAGGGGCAGUCGAGCAGUGAUGCGGCGGGAAGCACCGGUAUCAUGGAGUUCUCAGUAUUCAGAGGAGAGAGCCAUGGCUCUCCAGGACAUGACAAGAACAAAAUCCAUCAGGUGGCCCAUGGAAUUUGCCCUAAUUGGUUUUUACAGUCAUACCUUGUUUAAUAUAAUUGGACUGUCAUAUAAGGGUUGUCCUGGCUGUUAUGCUGGGCUAUUUUUACCCUGUUUAUUGUAAGUCAAUUCAGUUCCUGGAAGAUCCCUUUAAUGCCCUGACUUGCAUGUCCAAUAUUAUUAGGUGCUAUGAGUUCAGCUUGUGCAAAUCGCUUAAUGCAUAAGUCGGUAAGAGGCUCUGUGCUGGCAGGUCAGACUGAAGGUACAGCAGAUUAAUAUUUGAUCAUGCAGGAGGGUUUGUAAUCACAGCUGAUUGAUCCUUCAGCUGAGUGCCCUGGCAAUUAUCAUAAUUGUUGUCCACCGUACCGGCUUCUCUUUCUCUCUCUCUCUCUCUCUCUCUCUCUCUCGCAUGUCUCCCUCUCUCUCCUCGUAGCGUGGGCCGCAGGUUGAGUCUGUGAGACAGGAAUUCCUGUACAGUGUGUCUUUGAGUGAAUAAUGCAGGAGAAUUGUGGGAGAGAGGUUGGAUGAGGAUCAUCAGAGGCGAGGUUUCCCUCUCUUGGGUGACAUUGUGUGUGUGUGUGUGUGUGUGAGUGUUUGUGUCUGCAGGGGCAGUGGGACGUGGUUUGCUUGUGUUAGUGUUUCCGAGGACACACACACGCUGUAUUAUGGCAGUGUUCAGAGUUAAUCCCCACUCAGCCACGCUCCACGCUCACACUGCGAGACGGCGUGUAACACACAAACACGCAGGAAAAAGACAGAACACUGUCUCUAUUAACACAAGGCUCUUUUAUCAAGAUCUAUGGAUCAAUCUUUCUCUCUGGUUGACUUGUUUUUCGAGUGAUUUUACUAACUGAUGCUGAAUUGCCUUAUGGUCCAUAACCUGUAAUAAUAAAGCUUGUAUAUCAUUUCA